CUCCAAACUCAUUAGUUUCAGCACCAGGGAAAGACAGCUCGUCCAUUUUGUCAAGGUCCUUCCUGGACAGCCAGUGAACAACUGCCACGCUGAGGUAGUCUCCUGGGACACAGACAGAAGUCCUGCAGAGCUGAGAAAGCAGGUUGUGGGGAUUCCUGUUAAGAUUAUUCGACUGGGAUUCUGUGGCUGUGAUCUGGGCUUCUCUGCUGGAUGCUGCUGCUGAUACACUGCAGAUGAGAGAAGAGCCAUCGCCUAUCUUCUUCACUUAAUUAAACUAUACAACCAAGUGAUUUGCUGCUUACUACCUUGCUAGAUGUUAAUUAGAUUUUACUCUUCCAAGCCAACACUGGCCAAAAAUCUGUAAUGCAUCUGAAUGAGUUAUAUUAAACACUACA